AUACGUAGGUGACAAGCGUUAUCCGGAUCUACUGGGCGUAAAGGGCGUGUAGGCGGUCUUGCAAGUCAGAAGUGAAAUUCCUGAGCUCAACUCGGGCGCUGCUUCUGAAACUGCAGGACUUGAGUGCUGGAGGGGAUAGCGGAAUUCCUAGUGGAGCGGUAAAAUGCGCAGAUAUUAGGAAGAACACCGGUGGCGAAGGCGGCUAUCUGGACAGUAACUGACGCUGAGGCGCGAAAGCGUGGGGAGCAAACAGGAUUAGAUCCCCUGGUAGUCCACGCCGUAAACGAUGAAUACUAGGUGUAGGGGGUAUCGACUCCCUCUGUGCCGCAGUUAACACAAUAAGUAUUCCGCCUGGGGAGUACGGCCGCAAGGUUGAAACUCAAAUGAAUUGACGGGG
rnacentral:rRNA from 1 species